GACAGAGGUGCCGAGCGUUAGGCGGAAUCACUGGGCUUAAAGCGUGUGUAGGCGGGCGGGCAAGUAUCUUGUGAAAUCCCACGGCUCAACCGUGGAACUGCUGGGUAUACUGCCUGUCUUGAGCCAGCUAGGGGCGGUCGGAAUAGACGGUGGAGCGGUGAAAUGCGUAGAUAUCGUCUGGAACGCCAAAGGUGAAAACAGACCGCUGGGGCUGUGCUGACGCUGAGACACGAAAGCCAGGGGAGCGAACGGG
rnacentral:rRNA from 1 species